GCCAUGCACCACCUGUAUAGGGCGCUAAUGCACACUAUAUCUCUAUAGCUAAACCCUAUAUGUCAAGUCCAGGUAAGGUUCUACGGGUAUCAUCGAAUUAAGCCGCAUGCUCCGCCGCUUGUGCGGGGUCCCGUCAAUUCCUUUGAGUUUUAGUCUUGCGACCGUACUCCCCAGGCGGGAUACUUAACGCGUUAGCUGCGACACAGAAACCGUCAAUCCAGUUCCUACGUCUAGUAUCCAUCGUUUACAGCUAGGACUACCAGGGUAUCUAAUCCUGUUUGCUCCCCUAGCUUUCGCUCCUCAGCGUCGAUAGCGGCCCAGUGAGCUGCCUUCGCUAUUGGUGUUCCUCCGAAUAUCUACGCAUUUCACCGCUACACUCGGAAUUCCACUCACCUCUACCGUAUCCUAGUCACAACAGUAUCGAUCGACAUUUCAGGGUUGAGCCCUGAACUUUCACGACCGACUUGUUGAACCGCCUACGAGCUCUUUACGCCCAAUAAAUCCGGACAACGCUCGCCCCCUACGUAUUACCGCGGCUGCUGGCAC
rnacentral:rRNA from 1 species